rnacentral:rRNA from 1 species
UACGGAGGGUGCAAGCGUUAUCCGGAUUCACUGGGCGUAAAGCGUGCGUAGACGGUUAUUUAAGUCGGGUGUGAAAGCCCCGGGCUCAACCUGGGAAUUGCAUUCGAGACUGAAUAGCUAGGGUACGGUAGAGGGAAGUGGAAUUUCCGGUGUAGCGGUGAAAUGCGUAGAUAUCGGAAGGAACAUCAGUGGCGAAAGCGACUUCUUGGACCAGUACCGACGUUCAGGCACGAAAGCGUGGGGAGCAAACAGG